rnacentral:lncRNA from 1 species
UCAGUGAUAUUAAAUGGCUUUCCUUGCUUCCUGGAACAAUAUUUGAAGUAUUAGAUUGAGCUUUAGUUUUUGUGCUCAAGAAAAAUUAUUCUGCUAAGAAGACUUUACAAGUGAACAUGAUUGAUUUUGUGUGGAUGGUGUCCAUGUAAUGCUAGUUAAGAAGAUCUAAAAUUCUGGCCAAAGAUUAGAAGAUUUUCUGGAUGUCUUAAUUUGAUACUGGAUAUAUUCAGUUAUAUUGUGAAUUAUGCAAUAAAAGAUGUGAAUCAAGUAAAUAAACUUUAAAUCUCUUUAAAAAGCGUCCUAUUUACUACCACAUCAAAUAUAUACCAGAAAAUGAAGUAAUAUAUCUUAGGAGCUGAGAACAUAAAAAUUUGAAAAUCAGAAGAAUGUUUGGAUCUCAGUGAGAUGCUGGAGCUACAAGAGUAGUCUGGAACUUGAAUUGAGCCUUCAAUAUUAUCUUUAUUAGAAAUUAUAAAAUAGUAGCAGUUAACAUUUGGAAACUGAAAAUACUUGAAGGGAUUUCAGCAAAUGAUAUUUUAACAGAGGUGUGAAUACUUUAGUUCUGCAAGAAAGACAUAUGUUGGUUCUUGAAGCUGAUUAAGUAUUUGAACAUAUAAAACUGAUAAUGGAAACCAUGAAAAGCAGCCGAAAGUAUCAGAAAAACAAAGAAAUAUGACAUAUCUUAUGAAACAACAAAGUGGCAAUUCCUAGAAAAACCUAUUAUAUUAUCUAAUGAAUUAUAUGAGAACACAUUUGCUGUUCUAUGAUAAAAGUAAACAAACAGAAUGGACUUUGAUGUCUUCUAUUUGAUCCUGAAAUUGGGCCAACUGACAUUUGCAAAGCUCUGUGGAUUCUUGUUUUGUUUUUUUUUUUUCAAGCUCUGUGGACUUUAAGUAAACAAUAAUUAAUAAAAUUCAGCCACCUUACAUCACACUCUAACAAAAAAUUUUCAAGACAGUUGAUAAUAGAGAAACUGGCUAUCUAAAAACAUUCCUACCAUAAAAGCUAGAAAAAUUCCAAAUGUAGAUGCUUUGGGUUUAGCUGAGAGAGAUUCCA